GGCUAUGUAGUUUAACUGGAGAAAAUACUCCCCUGUCACGGGAGACGAUAUGGGUUCAAGUCCCAUUGUAGCCGCCA
rnacentral:tRNA from 1 species